CCAGACUCCUACGGGAGGCAGCAGUGGGGAAUAUUGCACAAUGGGGGAAACCCUGAUGCAGCGACGCCGCGUGAGCGAUGAAGUAUUUCGGUAUGUAAAGCUCUAUCAGCAGGGUAGAAAAUGACGGUACCUGACUAAGAAGCCCUGGCUAACUACGUGCCAGCAGCCGCGGUAAUACGUAGGGGGCAAGCGUUAUCCGGAUUUACUGGGUGUAAAGGGAGCGUAGACGGCGGUGCAAGCCAGAUGUGAAAGCCCGGGGCUCAACCCCGGGACUGCAUUUGGAACUGUGCUGCUAGAGUGUCGGAGAGGCAGGCGGAAUUCCUAGUGUAGCGGUGAAAUGCGUAGAUAUCAGGAGGAACACCGGUGGCGAAGGCGGCCUGCUGGACUGCGACUGACGUUGAGGCCCGAAAGCGUGGGGAGCAAACAGGAUUAGAUACCCUGGUACA
rnacentral:rRNA from 1 species